CCCCUGGGGACGAGGAAACCCCGGGAACUGGGGCUAAUCCCUGAUAAGUGAUGAGGCUUGGAAUAGUUCAUCACCCAAAAGCCUCCAGACCAUGCUCAAAGAGGCGCCCAAGGACAAAGCCGCGACCGAUCAGGCUGUUGGUAGGGCAACGGCCUACCAAACCUAUAACCGGUACGGGCCGUGAGAGCGGAAGCCCGGAGAUGGAUACUGAGACAAGGAUCCAGGCCCUACGGGGCGCAGCAGUUGCGAAAACUCCACAAUGCACGAAAGUGUGAUGGGGCUACCCCGAGUGCCGUCCGCUGAGGAUGGCUUUUCUCUGCUGUAAGGAGGCGGAGGAAUAAGGAGAGGGCAAGUCUGGUGUCAGCCGCCGCGGUAAUACCAGCUCUCCGAGUGGUAGGGAUGAUUAUUGGGCUUAAAGCGUCCGUAGCCGGCUUGACAAGUCUUCUGUUAAAUCCAGCAACCCAAUUGUUGGACUGCGGGAGAUACUGUCUAGCUAGAGAACGGGAGAAGUCGACGGUACUCUCAGGGUAGGAGUGAAAUCCUAUAAUCCUGGGAGGACCACCAGUGGCGUAGGCUGUCGGCUAGAACGUGUCUGACGGUGAGGGACGAAAGCUUGGGGAGCGAACCGGAUUAGAUACCCGGGUAGUCCAAGCUGUAAACGAUGCGGGCUAGGUGUUGGGGUGGCUACGUGCCACUUCAGUGCCGCAGGGAAGCCGUUAAGCCCGCCGCCUGGGGAGUACGGUCGCAAGGCUGAAACUUAAAGGAAUUGGCGGGGGAGCAC
rnacentral:rRNA from 1 species